rnacentral:lncRNA from 1 species
CUCACUUCUGGUUUUGAUUAGCCAAAGCAGAUUCCCCAAAGUUAUGGAGUCUCCGACCAAUGAGAUAACGGUCAUCACGGAUGGAGUUGUGAAGGUUUCUGAACCAGAAGCAGAAGAAGAUCACCGAGAGACAGCCUAUCCAUGUGAAUCUGUAGACCGCCGAGUUCACUACUAGCGGAUAGCCGAGCAUUGGAAACACGCCUCUCGCCAGGACAUAAGGCACGCAUAAAGCUGUUAGGAGUUUCAUCACAAUCGGGAACACAAUCUCUCCAAGUACCCAUAACCCUUGAAGCCUUGUGAAGCCAUCUUCUCUUACCCUCUCAAACUUUGCUCUCCAGCUAUCAUCCACUAUAGGAAGCAUAUGGUCCAGCAUUACCUGCCCAAUGACGUUGUUUUUUAGUGACAAAAUAUCGUCUUAUGUGGCAAAAAUUGCUGAUUUGAAGAAAAUUACUUACCAGUCUAGUCCAGAUCUUCAAAAAGAUGAGCCCAAGAGCCCAGUCUUGGUACAGGAGGAAGACAGGGCUUUCAUCAACUGGGACUCUCAUUGGGACAAUAACCAAAAGCUCAAACAGAAGUCCAAUUAGCACCGGAAUGAUAAAAACCUGUUUAAUCACCAUUUUAAAAGCACAGAAUCCAGAAUUAGUAGAGUUUGGAGUAUCUCAAAAAUUGAAAAUAUAACAGUACAAACCACUUACCCAUAUGGCUAACAGCACCGAGCUCUUGGAAACAAUCUCACACCAUUUCCAUAUUUGGUUAAGCAAGACUGAAGUCCUCUUCGACUUGACAUGCUCAAUAGCGUACGUGGCCCCAGAUAUGGUAGUCCACAAGGCAUAUGUGCCAAUGACAAAAGCAUACAGGUCUACAGAUUUAGGAAAUUCUGUUAGUAAUGUUUAUAAUGUGUAACCGUUAGAGAGAAUGACUCAGAAGAUAAAAAAUUAUAGACAUUACCAUUGCAUUUGAUGCCAUGAGUUGUUGGGAGAAUUGGGAUGACACUGAAUAGAGUACGUCCAACCGAAACUGGUACAACUAUCAAUGCCGAAUUGAAGAGAAGAAGAGUCACCCAUGCAACAAGUAGGAGGAUUAUCCGGACCACAAAGUUGUACCUGCUAAAAAAUUACAUUCAUUUCCGGGGAAGACCUAAUGAAAACUUUUAUGUACCUAGUCAACUAUAUACCAAGCGAACACUCCUUUUAAUUACUACAAGCAUGCAAAUAUUAGAAGCAUCAAAACAAGCUAUUAUCUUAUUUCUUAAGUAAUAACUUACUCUGAAUCAGAUUGUUUUUCAUCAUCUUCAUAUUCCUCACCCGUGUUGACACUCCCAGCACAUAGGCGACUUCUGUUAGGGUCACCAGCUGCUGGAAGAACAGCCAUGGGCCUAUCUGGUCUACCGACCUGCAAUACUUGUACUCUGUUCUGCCUUCCUGGUUCACCGUUUCCAUUGUCCUGACCAAUGUUGUCCUCUGGUCUUGGCAAGAGGAAGUCUGUCAAACCAAGCGCCCAACCAACACCAGUGAACCAGUAACGUAGAAGGGACUUAAUUGAGGUCUGGAAUCUGAAAUGUUUGAUAACAAAUGGUAUGCAUAUUUGUAACAGAAGCAUGUCGGCUGGAAUCUCAGUGAAUGGGUCGGAUACACUGCAUAGAUGCACAAGUUAGGAAAGACCUCAAACACAAAAUCUCCAAAAACAAGAGGUUAGUCAAUAUUUCUUACGAUAUGUCGAGUGGAAAGAUUGAAGGAGCCAUCCGGAUCGCAAGUUUGACUGGCAAAAAUACCAGCAUGACAAUCAAACUUCCAUACACUGCAGUUUCUAACAGAACCUUCCGAGCUUGCUUGUGUACUGGAUCAUCAAUCAUAUCUUGGAACGGAUCGACAUUAGGAUCUUCAAGAUAAUCAAGGAAAUACAAAACUCCAGGUCGAAGAACCUGCAAUUGGCACAGAAGUGAAAAAAUAUUAGGUAGUACAGAGAAAAAACUGUUUCCAUAAUGAAAUUAUGAUCAAGGAAAACACAGUACCUCUCGAAGAAGGCUUUCGAAGAUCAUUGUAAACAUGAGGUACAUGAAUCCAACAACCCAAUGAAGAAGUGAGCUUACCAAUGGAGAAGUUGAUAAAAACUGUACUCUGUGGGACAUUGUUUUACCAAACAUCCCAACCGUGCAAAUAUCUAGCGACCACCCACACAUCAGAGGGAAGACCCCUAAGAAGUAGACAUAAAAACAGGUAGCUUUGAGCAUAGUCAUCAGAUGCCUCAUUGCUGCCGAGAACUGUUUAAGGAGGGAUGAUACAGCUUCUUCUUCACCAUCAGCGUCGUCCAAACCAUGAAAACUCUGUUCAACCUGAGCCUCGAUACGAACUGCUUGUAUGCCCAACCUUUCAAGAACAUUUUCAGGGUUCCUAUUAACAAUCUGACCAACCGCAGCACCCUGAUCCCCAGCAUCUUCGCAAUUCUCCUCUCCCGCAAGAUUCCUAUUAGCCUGUCCAGCAGGUCUUCUGACAGCACGAGCACCAUUUCUGUCCACUUCAUCGUCUCUCUCUUCUUGCCCCCUUAGCUCUCGCAAACGCCUAAAGAUCACCUUUAGUAUAAUUACUCCAAAGUAAAAGAAGUAAAUUGUUGCCGACAGUAAGAACCCAUGCAAACAAUCAGUGAGAAUUACUGUGGUGGAGAUGUGACUUAAGAACAACCGCUGAGCUUCACCAAAACUCCGUACAAAAGCCAAUCGCCAUACCCAAAAUGUGAUAUAAGGAAUAGUGAUAAACCAGGCCGAAAUCAGGAAGCUCAACCGCAGAAAGAAGUGUAAAACACCGAAAAGUUUCGUGGCAAUGGCAACUACAAACUCCUGGAAAGGGAGCCUUGUUGGAGCAUUUUCAGCAUACACUGGGGAGAAUGAAAAAGGAUGUUUGCAAACCUGCAGAGAUAUAGUGAGCAAUAAGCUUCAAUCACUCUAUUAAACUCAAAUAAUCUGGAUUCAUGAACUCCAAUAAUAAGGAUGAGUUCCAUUCUAGGUAAAACUACGACCUAUAAGAAACAUUUAUAGAAAGAGCACUUCAAACUCUGCAAUAUAGUCUUAUUGAAGCUCACUACCUAUGACCAAAUCGUAGAGAGACAAACUGAGAAGGUUACCUAAAACCAUAAAAAAAACACAGAUAAAGCAAAUCUUCUAUAAGGGAGAGACAAAACCUCGCAGUGACGAGCUUUGCAGUGAUUAAGCCACUGAAGGAGGCAAUCCUGGUGAACAAAUUUGAUGCUCCCGCGGCAGGUGCACGGAUACCGAAGCGGAUUGUCCGUAUCCCCAGGAAUUCUGCAAAUCCUGCACAAGUCCUCCUCAUCUUCAACUGCCACCGUAGCAAAUGCGUGAUCCAUGGUGGAGAAAGCGGUGGAAGAGGCCUGAUUCGGCGACGAAGCAGACAGGCGCGAGGAGGAUGACGAAGAAGAUACCGAAGGCUCCGAGACGACCUCAGAGGCGGUUGCGCCAGAGAUGGACAACGAUUCGGCGGAGGAAAUCUCCAUGGAGAACUAGGAACAACGUAGCGAGCUUCAACUCGGUGCAGCGAGUCAACUCAGUGACUCGGAUUACGCCGACCCACGGUGAUAUUGAGGAGAAGGGUCACACUAAGCUCCCGCCAAUUCACAACGCCGAGCUAAAAGGGUCGGUCUAUCGCAGUUUAUUGUUAUCCGACUAAAUUGAUUAUAUGGUAGGACUAGACCGGGACUUGUAAACCGGUAAUUGACGAAAUUAAUUUUGGUUAAUAAUAGCCUAAGUUCAUCACUAAUGUUCAUAAAUUAUCUUUUUCUGUGUUCCUCUUAUUUUUAUAUCGUUGGAAAAGAAAAAACCAAAACAAUAUCAAUGAAUAUGAUCACACAUCGCCAAAUAAAUCUUCAAAUUAAAGACUUACGUGCACUAACAUAAGAGGUAAGAAUUUGCAAUUCGCGAUGGUUAUAAUAGAAACACACAAGGCAUACAUAUGGACAAACGAAGCAUUAUUCUAAAGAUGUUUUAGUUUAGUACACAAAGAAAAAGAAGAGAAUCAUCAACGGAUAUAAUAAUUUACACAUCGACUAAUAAAAUAAAAUCUUUCAAAGCCAUCUCUUAACGGCUUAAGUACACAACUGUUAAACGCCUCAGUGCACAGUUUCCAACUGAGUUUGACAAAAUACCUAAGCUUCUUGUUGGAUUGCACGUCUGAGCCUAAGUCCAUUAUCAACAUCUCCCUCACGUCCUAUCAGGACACCAUCUCCUGCAUCCUCACUACUUUGGUUUUGGUUUUGAUUUGCCAAAGCAGCUUCCCCAAAGUUAUGCAGUCUCCGACCAAUGAGAUAACGGUCAUCACGGAUAGAGUUGUGAAGGUUUCUGAACCAGACAUGGCAUCUUUUUGCACAGAAGCAAAAGAGGCUCACUGAGAGACAACCUAUCCAUGCGUAUCUGUAGACCGCUGAGUUCACUACUAGCGGAUAUCCGAGCAUUGGGAACACU